rnacentral:rRNA from 1 species
GACGUAGGGGGCAAGCGUUGUCCGGAUUUACUGGGCGUAAAGGGCGCGUAGGCGGUCCGUUAAGUGUGAAGUGAAAUCUCCAGAGCUCAACUCGGAAACUGCUUCGCAUACUGGCGGACUUGAGGAACGCAGAGGCAACUAGAAUUCCUGGUGUACCGGUGACAUGGGUUGAUAUCAGGAGGAAUACCGAUGGCGAAGGCAGGUUGCUGGGCGUUAUCUGACGCUGAGGCGCGAAAGCGUGGGGAGCAAACAGA